GCCUUCAUGGUGUAACGGUAACACGUUCGGCGUGUAUUCCAGAGGUCUAGGUUCAAGUCCCGGCGAGGGCA
rnacentral:tRNA from 1 species